rnacentral:rRNA from 1 species
ACGAGGUGCUGCAGUGGCUGUCGUCAGCUCGUGUCGUGAGAUGGUUAGGGUUAACGUACCCGUAACGAGCGACCUAACCCUUUCGUCCUUAGUUACCAGCACGUUAAGGUGGGCACUCUAAGGAGACUGCCGGUGACAAACCGGAGGAAGGUGGGGAUGACGUCAAGUCAUCAUGGCCCUUACGGCCUGGGCUACACACGUGCUACAAUGGUCGGUACAAAGGGUUGCCAAGCCGCGAGGUGGAGCUAAUCCCAUAAAACCGAUCGUAGUCCGGAUCGCAGUCUGCAACUCGACUGCGUGAAGUCGGAAUCGCUAGUAAUCGUGAAUCAGAAUGUCACGGUGAAUACGUUCCCGGGCCUU